rnacentral:rRNA from 1 species
GAUGAACGCUGGCGGCGUGCCUAAUACAUGCAAGUCGAGCGAACAGACGAGGAGCUUGCUCCUUCGACGUUAGCGGCGGACGGGUGAGUAACACGUAGGUAACCUACCUAUAAGACUGGGAUAACUUCGGGAAACCGGAGCUAAUACCGGAUAAUAUUUCGAACCGCAUGGUUCGAUAGUGAAAGAUGGCUUUGCUAUCACUUAUUGAUGGACCUGCGCCGUAUUAGCUAGUUGGUAAGGUAACGGCUUACCAAGGCAACGAUACGUAGCCGACCUGAGAGGGUGAUCGGCCACACUGGAACUGAGACACGGUCCAGACUCCUACGGGAGGCAGCAGUAGGGAAUCUUCCGCAAUGGGCGAAAGCCUGACGGAGCAACGCCGCGUGAGUGAUGAAGGUCUUCGGAUCGUAAAACUCUGUUAUUAGGGAAGAACAAACGUGUAAGUAACUGUGCACGUCUUGACGGUACCUAAUCAGAAAGCCACGGCUAACUACGUG